rnacentral:rRNA from 1 species
UACGUAGGGGGCUAGCGUUGUCCGGAAUCAUUGGGCGUAAAACGCGUGUAGGCGGCCCGGUAAGUCCGCUGUGAAAGUCGGGGGCUCAACCCUCGAAAGCCGGUGGAUACUGUCGGGCUCGAGUACGGAAGAGGCGAGUGGAAUUCCUGGUGUAGCGGUGAAAUGCGCAGAUAUCAGGAGGAACACCGAUUGCGAAGGCAGCUCGCUGGGACGUUACUGACGCUGAGACGCGAAAGCGUGGGGAGCAAACAGG